rnacentral:misc_RNA from 1 species
GCAAACUUGGUCAUUUAGAGGAAGUAAAAGUCGUAACAAGGUUUCCGUAGGUGAACCUGCGGAAGGAUCAUUUCCAAUCCAAAAAACUUAUCAACCCACUGUGUGCACGGUCUUAAUUUUCACCUUUCUGAGAAAUAAACAUGUAUGCAAAUAUGUGUUUGGAGUAUCAGAAAGAAUUUUAUAUUACAUCCUUAUUUACACCCCAUGUAGAUCUUAUCGAAAAAACAACAAGUUUAAUUACAUUAAACAACUUUUAACGGUGGAUCUCUUGGCUCGUGCAUCGAUGAAGAACGCAGC